GGUCACAGCUGUUACCAGCCUCGUUUUCAAGCGGAGGACGCCCUGACUGAGGGAGCCGAGUGACUCCUCCUAAGUCACUGGAUGUGUCAAGGCUGGAGCUGGGGCAGAGAUGGCUCCUAAAUCAUGUAAACGUCAGUCCUACAAAACCUGGAUGUGGAUUAGGGUCGGCUCUAAAUCCGAUGACCGGUGUCCCUACAAGAAGAGGGAAAUUUGGACCCGGAGACACACGGGGAGAAGGCCAUGUGCAGAUGGAGGCAGAGACUGGAGUGAUACAGCCAAGGAGCGCUAAGGAAGAGGCGAGGAACAGAUUUUUCCCUGAGAGCCUCCAGAGGGAGCCCAUCCUGCCGCCACCUUGAUCUCGGCCCUGUGGCCUCCGGAGCUGGGAGAGAAUCCACUUCUGCUCCUUCAAGCCCCUGGUUUGUGGGACUUUGUUACAGCAGCCCGAGCCACAUGACACCUUUUAGGGGAGAAGGAGAGCUAGAAAGUGAAGCUGCAGCCCCAGGGAAAGUGAUUUAGACCCUCAACAAUUCACGCGUGGCCGUUGAUCGGGGUUGACCAUCUUGAGUCUCAAACCAUAAGCGGGGACGGGCAUGAUUCUUGCUAAGCGUUGCGCAACGAUUUAAAUCCCUGGGAAGGAGCUGGCCGAGAGCAUGUCAACACAACCUCCAGCCCUUCAGGCUUUGGCUUCUUCGGUAGCCCUGGAUGAUGGAGAGCUUUUUCUCUCUUUCCGGUCAGCGCUGCCUGCCUUGCUCAUCCUGUCUCAGACGGCCUAUGAAGUGAAGGCACACGCGUCAGCUCAUACAGUGCUCCCUGGCCCCGUGCUGGGCUGCGUGAGUCACUCGAGGGCUUUUAAAGAUGAAUGCUCGGUGAGCCGGCUUCUCAGGAAGAUUAACCAUAAGUCACGGCCGUGUUUGCCGGGGCCAGGCUCUGUAGAACAGAUUCACGUGCCCCAGGAAACAUCGGCAAGGCGGACGGCCUGGCACAGAGCUUUGAAGCCGUGAUUCUGCGGUCUCCACAUGGGUUGGGGCGUGUCUCCAUUUUCUACUUUCUUUUCGUUAUUGUGUAUAGUGUAGACUAUAUAAAUGGAGCUAUCCCAUAUAUGUAGGUAUUUAUCAGUGGGUAUACACCUGUCUCUGUCUGUCUGUCUCUCUCUAUGUAUACAUACACUAUAUAUAUAUCCGUAUACUAUAUAUUGUGUAUACUAUAGAUAUAGCAUAAUGAGUGGGGAUAAACCAGUGGUUUGCAGAUUUUUUAAGCUGGACAGCUUUCUUUGCUGUGAAAUAUGACAAACAUAGAAGAAUGGGCAUAAAAUGAAAAAGCACGGCUCCAUGAGGGACCACAAAGUGGAGCACCCCCCCGUGACCUGCGCCCAGCAGCUCCCGUGGGAAUCCACCCAUGGGGCCUUAAGAAAAAGAAACACCUGCUACUUAGGGAGGUGCGCUUAUGUGGGAACUGUGACCAGGAAGUUAUUACCGCCAAGGGCAAGGUGGUAGAAAGGAGGAAAGGGGGGAGCUCGGGGUGGGGAAGGAGCACAGGCUGCCAGGACCUUGUCAGCCCCCAGAAUCACCCUGUGCCCCAUCUACGUGGUGUUAUGCAUACCACUCCUUUGUGCCUUUUCGUGGUUGUGUAGUAUUCCA
ensembl:lncRNA